rnacentral:rRNA from 1 species
AUUGAACGCUGGCGGCAUGCCUUACACAUGCAAGUCGAACGGCAGCACGGGUGCUUGCACCUGGUGGCGAGUGGCGAAGGGGGGAGUAAUACAUCGGAACGUACCUUAUCGUGGGGGAUAACGCAGCGAAAGUUGCGCUAAUACAGCAUACGCCCUGCUGGGGAAAGCGGGGGACCGUAAGGCCUCGCGCGAUUAGAGCGGUCGAUGUCUGAUUAGCUUGUUGGUGAGGUAAAAGCUCACCAAGGCGAUGAUCAGUAGGUGGUGUGAGAGGACGAUCAGCCACACUGGGACUGAGACACGGCCCAGACUCCUACGGGAGGCAGCAGUGGGGAAUUGUGGACAAUGGGGGCAACCCUGAUCCAGCAAUGCCGCGUGAGUGAAGAAGGCCUUCGGGUUGUAAAGCUCUUUUGUCAGGGAAGAAACAGCAGCUCUAACACAGUCUGCGAAUGACGGUACCUGAAGAAUAAGCACCGGCUAACUACGUGCCAGCAGCCGCAGUAA